AACCACUUAUUGUCUUUAAAGGGAGAGGUGAGGUGAGGCUCUGAACGAGGUGUCAGAGGCAUCAGAUACUGUAUUAGUCCCUAGAGGGAGAAGGAGAGGCCGCCGCCACGGCGGUGCCCUGCCACAGUGAAGAUUUGGUUCGCUAAUUGACGCCGACGGUGGUGUGAGGGGGUCUAUUGGUUCAGUCAUACAGAUAGCAAUUGCUCUGACUUGCAAGUUACUGUGUCGUCUGUGCUGUGGUAACACUUAGUGAGGUGUUGUGUAGGGUAGUAUGUGUGUGUGUGUGUGUGUGUGUGUUUGUUUACAGCAGAGUAAGGCUACUGGUGCACUCGCUCCCAGCCAUGACGUGCCUAUGACGUAUGUGUGACGCUUGUGUCUGGCCAAUGCUAACACGGCACGUCACGCUGUUGGCAGCAGGGAAACACAAGGUUUACUUCAGAUUUGUCCUAGGUGUCACGGAGGGAGGGUGGAGUGUGAAUGAUAUUAAUGGGUUUAUUUUCCUGUAAUAUUACGUUUCCAAGGCAUUACAGUAGUACAGUUUGUGUUCAUACGGAUUAUUAGUGCAGUGUGCACAGCGUCUGCAGUCCGGCAAGCCUUGCAAGUACUUGUAUCUGAUAAGGUGUUUCUAGACUGAUGUGUGCAGAGAAGAGUGGGAUGAGGAAAAAUAAAGGAGGAUGAAGAAGAAGAAGGGGGAAAGAAUGGAGGAGGAGGAGAAGAAAACAAGGAAAUGUUAAGAAGACAAUAUUUGUCUUCAUUUUCCACGGUUUUCCAGUCUGUAUUACCUCACCUCUCCGGGGAAGGCAACACACAUCGAGACUCGCUGCCAGAUGGCCUGAGGGAGAAUUGCGAAGGUUAGUGAAGCAAUACACAAUACAUGCCGUGGCCUCUCAGCUUC